rnacentral:rRNA from 1 species
AGAGUUUGAUCCUGGCUCAGAUUGAACGCUGGCGGCAUGCUUUACACAUGCAAGUCGAACGGUAACGCGGGGGCAACCCUGGCGACGAGUGGCGAACGGGUGAGUAAUACAUCGGAACGUGUCCUGAGGUGGGGGAUAACCUAUCGAAAGGUAGGCUAAUACCGCAUACGCUCGGGAUAGGAAAGCGGGGGAUCGGUAACGACCUCGCGUCUCAGGAGCGGCCGAUGUCCGAUUAGCUAGUUGGUGGGGUAUGCUAACCAAGGCGACGAUCGGUAGCUGGUCUGAGAGGAUGAUCAGCCACACUGGGUCUGAGACACGGCCCAGACUCCUACGGGAGGCAGCAGUGGGGAAUUUUGGACAAUGGGGGCAACCCUGAUCCAGCCAUGCCGCGUGAGUGAAGAAGGCCUUCGGGUUGUAAAGCUCUUUCGGUGGGAACGAAACGGUUACUCCUAAUACGGGUGACUACUGACGGUACUCACAGAAGAAGCACCGGCUAACUACGUGCCAGCAGCCGCGGUAAUACGUAGGGUGCGAGCGUUAAUCGGAAUUACUGGGCGUAAAGCGUGCGCAGGCGGUGGCUCAAGCCAGGCGUGAAAUCCCCGGGCUUAACCUGGGAAUGGCGUUUGGGACUGGGUCGCUAGAGUGUGGCAGAGGGAGGUGGAAUUCCACGUGUAGCAGUGAAAUGCGUAGAGAUGUGGAGGAACACCGAUGGCGAAGGCAGCCUCCUGGGCCAGCACUGACGCUCAUGCACGAAAGCGUGGGGAGCAAACAGGAUUAGAUACCCUGGUAGUCCACGCCCUAAACGAUGUCAACUGGUUGUUGGGGAAGGAAACUUCCUUAGUAACGAAGCUAACGCGUGAAGUUGACCGCCUGGGGAGUACGGCCGCAAGGUUAAAACUCAAAGGAAUUGACGGGGACCCGCACAAGCGGUGGAUGAUGUGGAUUAAUUCGAUACAACGCGAAAAACCUUACCUACCCUUGACAUGCCAGGAAGCCGGAUGAGAGUUCGGUGUGCCCGAAAGGGAGCCUGGCACAGGUGCUGCAUGGCUGUCGUCAGCUCGUGUCGUGAGAUGUUGGGUUAAGUCCCGCAACGAGCGCAACCCUUGUCACUAAUUGCCGGCAUUGAGUUGGGCACUUUAGUGAUACUGCCGGUGACAAACCGGAGGAAGGUGGGGAUGACGUCAAGUCCUCAUGGCCCUUAUGGGUAGGGCUUCACACGUCAUACAAUGGCGCAUACAGAGGGUUGCCAACCCGCAAGGGGGAGCCAAUCCCAGAAAGUGCGUCGUAGUCCGGAUUGGAGUCUGCAACUCGACUCCAUGAAGUCGGAAUCGCUAGUAAUCGCGGAUCAGCAUGUCGCGGUGAAUACGUUCCCGGGUCUUGUACACACCGCCCGUCACACCAUGGGAGUGGGGUUCACCAGAAGCCGGUUGCCUAACCGCAAGGCGGGCGCUGACCACGGUGAGCUUCAUGACUGGGGUGAAGUCGUAACAAGGUA